rnacentral:rRNA from 1 species
CUCGUGUCGUGAGAUGUUGGGUUAAGUCCCGCAACGAGCGCAACCCCUAUUGUUAGUUGCCAUCAUUCAGUUGGGCACUCUAGCGAGACUGCCGGUAAUAAACCGGAGGAAGUGGGGAUGACGUCAAAUCAUCAUGCCCCUUAUGACCUGGGCUACACACGUGCUACAAUGGUUGGUACAACGAGUUGCGAGUCGGUGACGGCGAGCUAAUCUCUUAAAGCCAAUCUCAGUUCGGAUUGUAGGCUGCAACUCGCCUACAUGAAGUCGGAAUCGCUAGUAAUCGCGGAUCAGCACGCCGCGGUGAAUACGUUCCCGGGCCUU